rnacentral:lncRNA from 1 species
CGACUUCUGAGCCUGUCCCCGACUUCUAGAGACUCCAGUUCCCCGCGGGGAUCCGGCGCCACGGGGGCGCGGACCGCCUGUAAAUGACGCGGAAUGAACCCGAGUUACCUGAGCCCGGACUUCGUGUGCAGCUGGGAGAGAGACGGAACGGGUUACCUGUGAUCCUGCAGACGCUGGGGCUCCGGGCUCCUGGGGCUGGGGCCCGGGGACUCCUGCGUCUCAGGGAGGGGAGCACUAGACGACCUUCCAUUCCUGAGCGAGUGGGAAUUAGGGGGCUGCUUGCCUGUACCUCUGUGGGGUUCUGGACGCGCUCAGAUAGCCCUAACCCUUCUCGAUCGCCUACUUCCCGCCUGAUGUUCGUGUUUGCCUGUAGCAGGAUAAGCACAACCACGCCGCUGGAUGGACAUGUCAGUUACAGCACUCGUGGUGUUUCUGUGUGAGCGCUGUGUGUCUUGCAGGCGCUGAGCCAUUUCAUUUCAUCCGCAACACGAUCUCAUUGGCUGUAGCCCGAGGCCCAUAACUGGCCUGAGGUCACCUCUCUGGAGCNNNNNNNNNNNNNNNNNNNNNNNNNNNNNNNNNNNNNNNNNNNNACGGUGGAAUUAGUCCUUAUCCCCACUACCACCUGAAUCUCUGAUGGAUGAAGAGCAACUGGGGCGGCUCUCCAGACUUCAGGUUCCAGAGGCAGAGCUGGGUGAGCUUGGGUCAGUGACUUAACCUCUCGAAUCUUCCAUUUGCUCCGCUGAAAAUGGAAUCAAGGCCUCCCUCCAAAGCACUGUUGUGAAUAUUUGAUAAAGCGCUCAAUAAAUGCUGUCCGACUUGGCUGGUCACACGAAGGUUUGGCCACCAGGGGGCGCUCGAUUUUGGGGUUUCUGCCCUGCCGAUCCAGACAGGUGUGAGGCUCGGAAACUGCCUGCCUGACGCCUGAGGAGGCUUGGGGUCCUCAGUCCCACCUCCAAGCUUUGCUGGGCUGCUCCUUUGUUAGAAAUUCCCUCCUUUCCCAUCUUCCUGCUCACAUCCUCCAGGAGCCUCCUGGAAGUGUCCCUGAAUCUCUUCUCCCACCCUGCCCAGCCCAGGACAUCGGGAAUCUCCCAAACCCCAGCUGCUGGGUCCUGUCCUUAUCGUGUGGCCAUUCAGCCCUUUGGGGCCUUGUUCUCCCUAAUUGAACUGAACUCUGGGGACAGAAACCAGAUGUGUGUUUCCACUAGAUAACAGAACAUCAUUCUUUCCACAUUUAUGGAGCCCUUGAUGUCUGCAAGGGCAUUUCUAGACAUUGGUGGGAGAGAAAAUUUUAAAAAAAUUAAAGCCAUUUGGUCGCGGAGUUUACAAUCUUGUGGGAGAGAGGUAAUAGGUAAAUAUGUAACAUGAAGUCAUAAUGAUGGGUGCUAUGAAUAGGAAACAAAACAACAUAAGGGGAAAGGGAGUGAAGAGUCCUAUUUUAGUUUUGAGAGGCCAAGGCCUCUUUGAGAAGGUGACUUUUGAGCAAAGACUAAAAUAAAGCAAACAAGGGGCUUCCGUGGUGGUCCAGUGGAUAAUACUCAGCACUCUCAAUGCAGAGGGCCUGGGUUCGAUCUCUGGUCAGAGAACUAGAUCCCACAUACCACAAGGAAAGAUCCCGUGUGCCCUAAGACUUGGUGCAGCCAAAUAAAUCUUUAAAACAGUACCAAAUAAAGCAAACAAGGUUUCCAGCCUUAAUGGAAUAUCUCAUGUCAGUAACGCUUCCACUAAGACCAACUAGGAACACACACACACACACACACACACACACACACACACGCUAUUUGAACACAUCAAAUAGCUAUCAAGGCAGCUAAGAGCCCAGAAAAAAGAGCAGCUCGUUCAGCAGGAGGGGCCAGAAGGCACAGAAAGCAAGCAGAAAGCAUAAGCUAAGCUGAGCUGAACUUUCAGUAGCAACACAGGGCUGGAGACAGAAAUGAAGUGUGGGGCCAACGAGGCAGGCAGGACUGGAGGGGCCAAAAUACUGGGCAGAAGGGAAGAGCAUUGGGAUCAGCCCAUCNNNUAAGAGACACUCCCUUGCCAGCUGGGUGUCCUACCCCUUCACCAGACCCUAGCAGGGGAUUCAGGAUCUCCUUGUGCCUUGACUCCAGGGUCGCCAGGAUGCAAAUGUCAGGUAUUAGGGUCAGCACCGAAGAGGGACAGAGAGAACCAGAGCUCAAAAAGCAUGACAAUAAUGAGAGGCUGAAACUGGGAAGUGAGGUGCUGGCUCCAGCCCAGAAUUAGAUGUGGUGUUUCCAGGUUUCUGGGGUCAAUCUGAGUUCAGAAAGCCGCUGGAUCUGUAGAUGGCUCUCAGUCGACUCUCAGGUUUCUAAUGAGUCCUGCAAUCACGCCUUGAGAAUGAGUUCUAACCUCUUAUCAAUUCCUCCAGUCCCAGAAAACCUUCCCUCUUUAUAGCAUCUAUCGAAUCUUCCUCUCCUUACCCCACUACUACUUUUUCCUGACCUUGCCUGGCUUUCUCUACUCUUCAUAAUUCUCUGUGCAGUGGUCCAUUGAGGCCCCAAGAUCCUUUCCCCACUCUGAAUAUUUACCGUUCAUGUAGAAUGAAGGAAAACUUAGAAUUUACUUUUGUGACCUAUCAGUUAAACCAGAUUUCUGAGACUUCAUUCCUUUAUUUAGGCUGAAUCAGGACUUGACAGACCACCAGGCAUAGAAAAUGAUCAUAACCAUGUUCUCUAUCAUCCAGAGUCCCGUGGAAGUAGGACAAAGGGGUUAAAAACAAGCGCAGAAUAUCAACCUACUGGAAAGUGAGGGGAGAAAGAGGAGAAACCUGACACAGAAGAUUUUCUGCUAAGGGUGAGGGUAGUCAGUCCUGAGGGAAAGGAACUCAGUGGCCUGUGAGAAAUGCAUUGUGUCUCUGAAGCUAANNNNNNNNNNNNNNNNNNNNNNNNNNNNNNNNNNNNNNNNNNNNNNNNNNNNNNNNNNNNNNNNNNNNNNNNNNNNNNNNNNNNNNNNNNNNNNNNNNNAAAGGAACUCAGUGGCCUGUGAGAAAUGCAUUGUGUCUCUGAAGCUAAGUCCCCUAACCCCCUGGAAGAGGAGGUUUUCAGGGUAGACUGAGGAGGAGCUUGGCUGUCCCCUGCCCAGCACCUCUGUCCUGAGGGACAGAAGGUCACCAGUCCCGUUUCCCAGCCCUCUUUCUUCUGCAUUUGAGACUAGUCGAGGAUCUGCCCCCAGGGGGCACUCCAAUCACCUUGCCAGACCCCUGGAGCGCCUAGCUGAAGGGUUGUCGCUGUCCAUGGUCCUGGAGCGUGGCUGGGGUCCCAGUAAUGGACACUAGAACUAUUAACUACUUUCCUCACAGCCACUUGAUAAAGUUUAGGAAAUAAUUUAUCCUUGUUUAGGUGAUUGUUUUGUGUUGUGGGCGUGUACUCGCCAAGGCCCAC